UACGUAGGCAGCAAGCGUUGUUCGGAUUUACUGGGCGUAAAGAGUGUGUAGGUGGUGCUCUAAGUUCGGUGUGAAAUCUCCUGGCUUAACCGGGAGGGUGCGCUAAAUACUGGAGUGCUCGAGGGUGGGAGAGGCAAGCGGAAUUCCUGGUGUAGCGGUGAAAUGCGUAGAUAUCAGGAGGAACACCUGUGGUGUAGACAGCUUGCUGGACCAUUUCUGACACUGAGACACGAAAGCGUGGGUAGCAAAC
rnacentral:rRNA from 1 species